GAUGAACGCUAGCGGUAGGCUUAACACAUGCAAGUCGAGGGGCAGCAUGGUCUUAGCUUGCUAAGGCUGAUGGCGACCGGCGCACGGGUGCGUAACGCGUAUGCAACUUGCCUCACAGAGGGGGAUAACCCGUCGAAAGACGGACUAAUACCGCGUACACUCUAUGUUGGGCAUCCAAUGUAGAGGAAAUGUAAUUCGCUGUGAGAUAGGCAUGCGUUCCAUUAGCUAGGUGGUGAGGUAACGGCUCACCAAGGCGACGAUGGGGAGGGGAACGGAGAGGUUGACCCCCCGGACUGGAACCGAGACACAGACCACACCGCUACGGGACGGAGCAGUAUGGAAUAUAAUGCAAGGGGCGAGGACCUGAACCAGCCAAGUCGCGUGAAGGAGGACUGGCUUAGGAAUUCUAAGCUUCUUGUAAACAAGAAUAGCAAGAGUCACGGGUGGCUCCCUGACGGUACCGAAUGAAUAAGCACCGGCUAACUCCGUG
rnacentral:rRNA from 1 species